ensembl:lncRNA novel transcript
GUAGUUCUUUCCUUUGUCUGAGCUCAGCGGAGACCGCCGCCGAGACUACGACUCCCAGCAGCUCCGCGUUCCCCCUUUCCUCAAAAGAAAAAGAUCUACCUCGAGGUGUUUCAGAUUCAGGAUAAACAAGAUAGACAAGCCUUGUUCCUGCCCUUAAGAAGCCCAGGACGAGGAAUACAGACAAAUAACACAUUAUUGAAAUGCCCUGAUAAGUGCUUUUCAUAGAUAAUACUAUGGAAUUACAGAGGAGGGGCACUUAAUCCAGACUGGGAGGGGCAUAAAAGAGGAAUGCACUACUUCCCAUAACAAGAAGUUCUACAUUGGGACCACACCACUCCAGGAUUGAUUCAUUCAAUGGCUCAUAAAUCUGCCAUCCUCAGGACCCAGUGAUGUCCAAGGACUGAAAAGGAUUGUGUGUCUCUACUUAUUAGCUUGAGAAACCUUGCCAGAGGUCCUUGGACGCUUUCUACCUAUUUGCCCAAAUUAGAUAUAUCCCUGGCAAGGUGAAUGAGUGCCUUAGAUCAGUCCCAAUUCCCUUCUGUAGGCCUGAAGCUAGAGAGACUUAGCAGGAAGAUGGAACUUACCCAAAAGUAGAGCUCUGCCAGCAUGGGAAAAAGGAAAAGUGCCUGCAACAGGAAAAACAACAAAGAGAGAGAGGUGGAGAGGAACACGCCAAAGAAAGAGAGAGAGCCCACACUAUCCUAAGCUCCUGAAUGCACUGUGACAUCCAGGUGUCCUGGGGAAGACAUAAACACAUCAUACAGCACCCACAGGAACUUCAAGAGACUGGAGUUAAUAAAGAGAUUAAAGAGAUUAA